ACUCUGCUCUCUCCCAUCAACAAACUAAAGACUAUUUUGAGAACUAUAACAGAAUUCCACGCGAAAUUCAUGAAGAAAUAUCAGUGACAUUCAAGGAGGUGCUUCCAGCCACAUCAACCACCAGCUCUGCCCACUGUGGAUCAUUAGUUCUCCCAGUCACCAGCUCUGCUCUCUGUGGAUCAUUAGUUCUCCCAGUCACCAGCUAUGCUCUCUGUGGACCAUUAGUUCUCCCAGUCACCAGCUCUGCUCUCUGUGGACCAUUAGUUCUCCCAGUCACCAGCUAUGCUUUCUGUGGAACAUUAGUUCUCCCAGUCACCAGCUCUGCUCUCUGUGGACCAUUAGUUCUCCCAGUCACCAGCUCUGCUCUCUGUGGACCAUUAGUUCUCCCAGUCACCAGCUAUGCUUUCUGUGGAACAUUAGUUCUCCCAGUCACCAGCUCUGCUCUCUGUGGACCAUUAGUUCUCCCAGUCACCAGCUCUGCUCUCUGUGGAUCAUUAGUUCUCCCAGUCACCAGCUCUGCUCUCUGUGGACCAUUAGUUCUCCCAGUCACCAGCUCUGCUCUCUGUGGAUCAUUAGUUCUCCUAGCCACCAGCUCUGCCCUCUGUGGAUGAUUAGUUCUCCACAGCCACCAGCUCUGCUCUCUGUGGACCAUUAGUUCUCCCAGCCACCAGCUCUGCUCUCUGUGGAUCAUUAGUUCUCCUAGUCACCAGCUCUGCCCUCUGUGGACCAUUAGUUCUCCCAGCCACCAGCUCUGCUCUCUGUGGAUCAUUAGUUCUCCCAGCCACCAGCUCUACUCUCUGUGGACCAUUAGUUCUUCCAGUCACCAGCUCUGCUCUCUGUGGAUCAUUAGUUCUCCCAGCCACCAGCUCUGCUCUCUGUGGAUCAUUAGUUCUCCCAGCCACCAGCUCUGCUCUCUGUGGAUCAUUAGUUCUCCCAGCCACCAGCUCUACUCUCUGUGGACCAUUAGUUCUUCCAGUCACCAGCUCUGCUCUCUGUGGACCAUUAGUUCUUCCAGUCACCAGCUCUGCUCUCUGUGGAUCAUUAGUUCUCCCAGCCACCAGCUCUGCUCUCUGUGGAUCAUUAGUUCUCCCUGUCACCAGCUAUGCUCUCUGUGGACCAUUAGUUCUCCCAGUCACCAGCUCUGCCCUCUGUGGACCAUUAGUUCUUCCAGUCACCAGCUCUGCUCUCUAUGGACCAUUAGUUCUCCCAGUCACCAGCUAUGCUCUCUGUGGACCAUUAGUUCUCCCAGUCACCAGCUCUGCUCUCUGUGGACCAUUAGUUCUCCCAGUCACCAGCUCUGCUCUCUGUGGACCAUUAGUUCUCCCAGUCACCAGCUAUGCUUUCUGUGGAUCAUUAGUUCUCCCAGCCACCAGCUAUGCUUUCUGUGGAACAUUAGUUCUCCCAGUCACCAUCUCUGCCCUCUGUGGACAAUUAGUUCUCCCAGCCACCAGUUAUGCUCUCUGUGGAUCAUUAGUUCUCCCAGUCACCAGCUCUGCUCUCUGUGGACCAUUAGUUCUCCCAGUCACCAUAUCUGCCCUCUGUGGACAAUUAGUUCUCCCAGCCACCAGCUAUGCUCUCUGUGGAUCAUUAGUUCUCCCAGUCACCAGCUCUGCUCUCUGUGGAUCAUUAGUUCUCCCAGUCACCAGCUCUGCUCUCUGUGGACAAUUAGUUCUCCCAGUCACCAGCUCUGCCCUCUGUGGACCAUUAGUUCUCCCAGUCUCCAGCUCUGCCCUCUGUGGACCAUUAGUUCUCCCAGCCACCAGCUAUGCUCUCUGUGGACCAUUAGUUCUCCCAGUCACCAGCUCUGCCCUCUGUGGACCAUUAGUUUUCCAGUCACCAGCUCUGCCCUCUGCGGACCAUUAGUUCUCCCAGCCACCAGCUCUGCUCUCUGUGGACCAUUAGUUCUCCCAGUCACCAGCUCUGCUCUCUGUGGAUCAUUAGUUCUCCCAGUCACCAGCUCUGCUCUCUGUGGACCAUUAGUUCUCCCAGUCACCAGCUAUGCUCUCUGUGGACCAUUAGUUCUCCCAGUCACCAGCUCUGCUCUCUGUGGACCAUUAGUUCUCCCAGUCACCAGCAUUGCUCUCUGUGGACCAUUAGUUCUCCCAGUCACCAGCUCUGCUCUCUGUGGACCAUUAGUUCUCCCAGUCACCAGCAUUGCUCUCUGUGGACCAUUAGUUCUCCCAGCCACCAGCUCUGCUGUCUGUGGACCAUUAGUUCUCCCAGCUACCAGCUACGCUCUCUGUGGACCAUUAGUUCUCCCAGUCACCAGCUCUGCUCUCUGUGGAUCCAGUCACCAUUUAUGCUAUCUGUGGACCAUUAGUUCUCCCCAGCCACCAUCUCUGAGGGUUAUUAGUACUCCCCAGUCACCAGUUCUGCUCUCUGUGGACUAUUAGUUAUCCCACCCACCCACUAUGCUCUCUGUGGACCAUUAGCUCUCCCACCCGCUAUGCUCUCUGUGGACCAUUAGUUCUCCCACCCGCUAUGCUCUCUUUGGACCAUUAGUUCUCCCAGCCCCCUGCUAUGUUCUUUUCAAAUAUUGUUUAUUGAAGUAUUAAAAUCUUUACAACAAAGAUAAUAAACCUGCUUUUCAGGGGAGGGAGGAAGAGUAAAGGUGGUAAAAGGGAAGGGUAUCCAUCUACAAUAAAGAUAAUUAUCAUAAUAUUACAUUAACAUUUUGCUAUACAUUGCAUAAUCAUGACGAUUAUAAAUGGUAAAUUCUUUUAAUGAUGUUUUCCAAUUUAUCCCAACUGUGAUGAAGUUGUUUAGGUAAGUCUGAGUUUUGUCUAUAUGACAUUUCGUUCCUUUUAUUUUCUAAAACCAGAUUCAAAACUUCUUUAAGUGUUGGAGUAUCAUCCGAUUUCCAGUAUUGUGGUAAACACGAGGUAGCAGCAAUUAGGAUGUGGCCUAUGAUGAUUCUAUCAAUUUUGGUACCAGAUUCCGGGAAGUGCUUAAAGGAUCACUAUAGGGUCAGGAACACAAACAUGUAUUCCUGACCCUAUAGUGUUAACACCCCCAUCUAGCCCCCCCCUGGGCCCCUCUUGCCUCCAUAAAUAUAGCAACAUCUUACUGUAUUCAAGCCUGAAGCUGUAACUCUGCAUGCUUUUAGCCUCAAAAAAAGGCUAACAUCAUCAGAACUGGUAGCCUGAUCCAAUCACAAUGCUUCCCCAUAGGAUUGGCUGAGACUGACAAGGAGGCAGAUCAGGGGCAGAGGCAGCACAAUUCAAACAGAGCCCUGGCCCAUCAGCAUCUCCUCAUAGAGAUGAAUUGAAUCAAAGAAAAGAAAUUACCUUGGGGUAUUAGAGAGGAAAAAAGGCAUAAAACCGUUCCUCUCAACCCCCCCCAAGGGUAUACCCACAAUGAUGAUAUUAACUUGUAAGGCCUGGGGUUUAAUAGUAUAAAAAAUAAAAAAGAUCUUUAUUAAAUUAUAUUUGUUAGAGUCUAUAAAGAGAAAAAAUGUGCAAGUGAUUUAAAAAGGGCAGACUCUUGUAACUUCUAUAGAAUGUUCCAGCAUACAGUGAAUAGCUGUAAAGUAAAUAUAUCCGCUACAUAGUAUAAAUAAAUAGAAUACUGUUCAUGUAGCACCCACUUAGGAACCACAGGAAAAUGGAUGACUAAAAAUAUAGUCAGAGUAAGUUAGGACAUGAGGAUAUUAUAUAUACACAUAUGUCAUUCUUAA